UUAUGGUUUAAAAGAUAAGAAUGUUUUUACUUUGCUAAGAUGAAAUAAAGUCUGUGGAUUUGUUUGCAAUGGAGAGAGAAGAGGUUGAUGUAUGCAUGUCCCUGUCUGACAAAAAGUAAUACUUCGGACCCGCUAGACUCACAAAAGUAGUACUUUGUUGGUGGACCAGCUACUAAAAUACCAUAUUUCAUAUAUAGCGGAAACUUUGUAUACAACACAGUAUAUAAUAUACGGUACAAGGUGUCAAUAGUUAAUUGGUUGGCCAGUCGCCGGUAGGAGAAGGAACCCCACAAUUUUACUUUUCGGUGCUAUGUGUGGUGUGUCGUCCACAAUGUUCGUCCACAAUAUUCGUGUUUUCUGUUCUUUUUUUUCUUAAAUGGCGUACUUAGAAAAAACAAGCAGAGCCAACCGCUCUAAAUGGAAUCCUUGUGCAUGCAUGCUGUUCUCAGCCUGGUCGCCUCUUGAGUCAUCUACAUGUGCCGACUGCUAUCUGUACUCUGUCCUAGUUCUGGAGAUUCUCUCACACCCAGUGAAGCUCACUGAUAGCCAGCCAGCCUUGCUGCUGAACAGCCGGAGCGCCUGUUUCCGAGGAAUAGUCAAAAAAGUUCGCACGCCUCUCCCAUGUCCAACCAACCCGCAGCCGCCCCUCUUCUAUUUCUGUUGCGGUGCCGCUCCUCCCUCCAUCCAGCUCAGCUCUCUCGCUGCAGCUCACUCCCACAGCCCCACUCUCUUGCUCGAUCUGCUGCCUUGUGUGAUGGCCCGAGCACGACCAUCGAGCACCCUCUGGUCGCUGGUGAAGACCGUUGGCGCCGGCAUGCUCAGCUUCGACUUCCCCAUACGCUCCACCGGCCUCGCCACACAUGCGGCGGCCCAGCCAUGCUCCCCACCUUCGCGUCCAUGCCAGGCGAUCUCCUGCUGGUUGACCGCCGUCGCCUCGACUGGUUCCGCGGCGACGUCGUCGCCUUCCGGGAAGAGCCUGUUGGGCCGGGUCAUAGUCAUACAUAUAAACAGAAUGGUUUUUGGAUGCGUGACAUGAAUUGGUUGCAGGAGCCUGGACGGCCAUAGCAAAGAGCCUAUUUUUAUGGAAGGAAAGGCAUACCACAAAAGGGUUGUCAGCAGGCUGAUUGCGCUGCCCGGCGACCUUGUCCGGCUCCGGGGGACGACGGAGCUCCUGGAGGUCCCCGAGGGCCACUGCUGGGUGGAAGGCGACAACCCCAGCCAAAGCAAGGACUCGAGGACAUAUGGCCCUGUUCCACUUAGCUGCUGGAGGGGACGGUCACACACAUAGUCUGGCCGCCUCACAGGAUGGCUGCAGUCCCCGGCAGGGUCCCGGAAGACAGGGUUAGGUUGAUCAUCGACCCCGCUGGCUCUGCAAAGGAAAUGACGGCAGUAGCUCAUUCAUGUGGUAGUGUGGCUCCACGCUCCAGUAGUACUGGAGGAGGCCCUUCCUUAGGAUCCCACAAAGAAGGGUCAUGCCGCAGUGAUUGUAAUUUCAUUUGGCUUGUUAGUCCACGGCUUGUGUGACAAAAGCGGAGCUGUAACGUGCUAUGUGCUGUCAAACAGUGAUAGGUAGCCAAGUUAUUAAAUA